AUGGAGUUCGCCGGAGAAGUCGACGACUUCGCUCUCGACCUCAUCCGCGAGCACCUCCUCGGCGGCGACGGUGGUGUCCAGGCGACGGCGAACCAUGAUCAGGCGGGCCCCUUUUGCGACGACGUCACCUUCCCGGUGCUGCCACCUUCCGCGGCAGAACCACAAGCGUACACGCAGCAGCCCAUGUUCUUCCCGCAGCAGCAGCAGCAGCAGCAGGAGAAUCAGCAGAUGCAAGCUUACAUGGACCUGGCACACCAGUACCUGAACUCCUGCCCGGCUGCCGACGUCCCUGAGACUGUGUUCAGGGCGCCGGAGCCGGUGAUGAUACAGUUCGGCGGCGAGCCGUCUCCUGUGACGGCGCCGUCGUCCACGCUGAGCAUCUCCGUGCCGGCCAAGGGCUCGUUCGCGUGGGCGGGGACUGCUGCCGCCGCGGCACCGCCGGCGCCAGCACCGGUGGAGGACUUCCGCAAGUACCGCGGCGUGCGGCAGCGCCCCUGGGGCAAGUACGCGGCGGAGAUCCGCGACCCCAAGCGCCGGGGCUCCCGCGUGUGGCUCGGCACCUACGACACCUCCGUGGAGGCCGCGCGCGCCUACGACCGCGCCGCCUUCCGGAUGCGCGGCGCCAAGGCCAUUCUCAACUUCCCAAACGAGGUCGGCACCCGCGGCGCCGAGCUGUGGGCGCCUCCGCCUCCCGUACCCGCGUCCCAGACCGCCGGCGCGACGAACAAACGCAAGCGAUCACACGAGGACGACCGCGACGUCGAGGUGACCGGAGUGGUCAUAAACAAGGCCCCCAAGAACGAGGCGCCGUCGCCGUCGUCGGCCCAGGUGUCGUGGGACACGCCCUCGUCCAUGUCGCGGGAGACGGCCUCCUCGACGGUGACGUCGGCGGCCACGACGCCGGAGGGAGGGCUUCCUCCGACGCCGUCGAGCUCGGGCUGGGAGCAGUACUGGGAGGCGCUGCUGGGUGGCAUGCCGCUGCUCUCGCCCCUGUCGCCGCACCCGGCGCUGGGGUUCCCGCAGCUCACCGUUAGUUAA
rnacentral:rRNA from 1 species